GCUCUGCGCUGAGGUGCUGGGACAGCCAUGAUUUCAGACGAAGAUGAAUUGAAUCUUCUGGUUAUUGUAGUUGAUGCCAACCCAAUUUGGUGGGGAAAGCAAGCAUUAAAGGAAUCUCAGUUCACUUUAUCCAAAUGCAUAGAUGCUGUGAUGGUGCUGGGAAAUUCGCAUUUAUUCAUGAAUCGUUCCAACAAACUUGCUGUGAUAGCAAGUCACAUUCAAGAAAGCCGAUUCUUAUAUCCUGGAAAGAAUGGCAGACUUGGAGACUUCUUCGGAGACCCAGGCAACCCUCCUGAAUUUAAUCCCUCUGGAAGUAAAGAUGGAAAAUACGAACUUUUAACCUCAGCAAAUGAAGUUAUUGUUGAAGAGAUUAAAGAUCUAAUGACCAAAAGUGACAUAAAGGGUCAACAUACAGAAACUUUGCUGGCAGGAUCCCUGGCCAAAGCCCUUUGCUAAAUUAAGACAUUCAUAGAAUGAACAAGGAAAUUAAAGAUAAUCAGGAAAUGAAAUCAAGGAUAUUGGUGAUUAAGGCUGCAGAAGACAGUGCGUUGCAGUAUAUGAACUUCAU
rnacentral:sRNA from 1 species